UUGCUUUGGCAGCACAUACACUAAAUCUGGAACAAUACAGAGAAGAUAAGUAUGGUUCCUGCACAAGGAUGACAUGCAGGUUUGUGAAGUGUUCCACAUUUUU